AACGAACGCUGGCGGCAUGCCUAACACAUGCAAGUCGAACGAGACCUUCGGGUCUAGUGGCGCACGGGUGCGUAACGCGUGGGAACCUGCCCUUAGGUUCGGAAUAACUCCCCGAAAGGGGUGCUAAUACCGGAUAAUGUCUUCGGACCAAAGAUUUAUCGCCUUUGGAUGGACCCGCGUUGGAUUAGCUAGUUGGUAGGGUAAAAGCCUACCACGGCGACGAUCCAUAGCUGGUCUGAGAGGAUGAUCAGCCACACUGGGACUGAGACACGGCCGAGACUCCUACGGGAGGCAGCAGUGGGGAAUAUUGGACAAUGGGCGAAAGCAUGAUCCAGCAAUGACGCGUGAGUGAUGAAGGCCUUAGGGUUGUAAAGCUCUUUUAACCGGGAUGAUAAUGACAGUACCGGGAGAAUAAGCUCCGGCUAACUCCGUG
rnacentral:rRNA from 1 species